AUGCUCGGGCACCGGCUUUCCUCCAUGGCACCCCACGGAAACUCAAGGGAAAUGUUUCCCUGGGAUGGGAUGAGAGGCCUUGCAAGGCACAAUCUUCAUCCCAGAGAUGCCAGAGCCAAUUCCUGGUACAUCUUCCACCUCUUCCAGAGCAAAACAGCACAGCAGCUCCUGAAAUGUCUGCCCCCAGCCCUCUGGCUCAGAGGCUGCAGAGCCACCAAACCAAAGCAUCACCUUAAAAGAGGUCUCCAGACUGGAUUGAGAAAAAUGUGGAGUUGGGAGGAAAGGGUGGAAUUGUGUUGGACAACAUGUGCACAUGCCUGUGCAUCCAGACAUGUAGCAGGGACAUGUUCAAUUAAGGGAAUGUGACUGCAGGUUGCAGGAUGUGGAGGCUGCAAGUGGCAGAAUCUCCACAGCCUCAUUAAACUCUCAUGUCCAAAUUAAAUGUCAGAUUUGCAUAUUGGUUCUGUGGUUUCAGGCCUGUUAUGCAGCAGCAGGGGGGAAGCUGAUCAUGGGUGGGGGUGCUGUGGGUAUCCAGGUGGGAACCUUACUCCUGAGAGCCCUGCAAAGCCAAGGAUGUGAAAUUUUAGGGGGAACUAGG
rnacentral:lncRNA from 1 species